UUUCAUUCUAGUUUGCCAAAAAACAGAAGUCAGCUUUUUCCCCAGGGAGAGUUGACAGACACAGAAUUUCAACACAGAGAUACGAUAGAGCUGAAGACAAACACACACGUACACUGAAGCCACCGCUCUGCACUGAAGUCACGGCAAGGAGGUGGGGAACAAAGUGCACUGCAGUUUCAAGAGGAAAAAUAGCUGGCAUAUUCAAUAAAUAUUUACAACCUUCUGUGACCCAAACAAGCCUCGCCUGGAUGGAAGAUUCUGAGAGAAGCAAUACAGAUUCCUGCACAGGAAAACUCAGGAGUAGAGGAAGCACUGUCCCUGCACACCUCUGGAACACGCACCCUGAAUUCACACCAAUUCCAGGAUGCCCUCACAGCCACUCUGAGCUUUUAGUAUGAAGCAUGAAGCCAGAGCCGCAACCUGGAGAAGUACUGACCUCUUUUUGGGACUGGUUGGUCAGAAGUUAGUUGACACAAACAUCUGUUUAUGAUGAAUAAAU
ensembl:lncRNA